UAGGAGCUGCCCAUGGGCGGGAAAAUUCUAGCUAGUAAACCUCUUAAAUGUGCUCGUCAUUCUUUAUUUUAGGUCAGUCAAGGAGCUCCCGGCGGAGAUAGCGAUCAGGUAUUUCUCUCUCGAUCACUGUAGCUACAGCCGAUCGAUCGAUCGGGCGCGCCGCGCUCCGGCCGCUCCAGCGAUGCCGAAUUCCAGGAAGAAAAUGGAGGGCCAGAAUCUCAUUUUCUACGCUUCCAUCGCUCAGGGGACCAAUAUUCUAGCCGAGUGCCUCGACGACGAUCCCGGAUUUGCAGCCGCCAUGGCGGAAUCUCUGGCUUCGCUCCCGCCGAUGCACAAGACCGUCACAUUUGCCGCGAACAAUCGCCUGGCGUGCUACCUCAUCCAGCCCCCGCUGACGUAUUGUGGGGUCUUUGACGAAGUCUUUGGGAAGGAGCACGGGUUUACGUUCUUGGGCCAAAUCCAGAGCGAUUUUAGACGGCUACUGCUUCUCCGGGGCCUCCAGGAAGAUCGAGACGAGCUCCAAAACUAUCACUUGGAUCGUGACGUCUUGCCAGUGAUGAGAAAUGCGAUCAACGACGCUACCGGGAGGCAGUGUUACGAAGGCUUUUCGGAUCAAUCUUUCGACGAUAGUGUGCCUUUGAUGGGCAAGGGGCGGUUGGAGAGGAGGAUGUCCGGUGACUCUACGCAAGCGCAGUUCUCGUCGUCGUGCUCGCCGCUCGCCAGGGGCAAGUCGAGCAAGCACAAGCAGUACGAGCUCCGGGAGGUGGUGAUGGAGCGGUGCGACAAGUCCGAUGGCCCAGCGCAGGCAAUGGAAACCUCCUCGGGUGGCAAGAGUGUGGGGAACUCGAGGAUGAGAGCUCAGUGGCAAAGAAUGCGGUGCUGUUGCAGCAUGAAGUUUAUACUCGCGAUCGAUGCUGUCGUGUGCGUGGUCUUGCUCUCGGUCUGGCUGGCAGUUUGUAGAGGUUUUCGGUGCUAGAUCGUGACUAAAGGUAUCGUUUUCACCAUCAAUCUAGCUAACGAUUUUUGUGUAUACGGUGUAUCAUACAGGCUGUGGGGCAAUCAAUGAAUGCAAGUGAUAGACCAUGUGAAGUUCAUUCAAGCUCCUCAUUAGUCUUCUGUUCGGCAGUCUCCACGCAGCAGGAAGGUUAUGUUACAAGUGAUCACCAGCAGGAAUAGCAAUAGCAACAGCAGCAGAACGAUAGAGAGAGGAAAGAAUAGAAAGUUCUCUCAAGUCCCCAGAGCGAGAGCUCUAUGCCGGUUCAUGUCAGUAUGAUAUUCAUUGCUCGUG